rnacentral:lncRNA from 1 species
AUGUUUGCACAGUGCACGAGCUGUUCAGCAGGAUUGCCUACUGGAGAUCACAAUGCCACGAGAAAGCUCUUAUCUCCAGCGAGCUGUGUGUGGAGUGGAUCGUGGCCACCAACUGGGGUUGGAUAUUAAAUCGGGGACCAUUGAAAGAUCUAAUGCAUAGCCAAAAUAAGUUCAGCCAGCUGCUCUGGGAAUUGACUUGUCGUGAGGAUAUUUUCCUAGUUCCCAUUGUAAGUGUUCGAAAUGAUCUAGCCCUACUAAGAUGACAAGAUAUGAUAACUUUUUUGUUAACUUGGCAGACCAUCAAUCUUAGAGGCAGAAGACGAUUCUCCGCAUUUUCUUCAGAGUACAAGAUGAUUAUGCACUAAUCGUAAGCAAAAAAAGGGCUGCUUGGAGCUAAAUUCUGAGUUCUAUGGUUAAGGACUACGGAAACAGCUUAUUCUCUUUUACAGGCAACAGAACUGGAAGCAUAGUAAGUAAGACACACCGCAUCUAGAUGAAAGAGAGUAAUGAACAUUUAGACAUCAAAAUGAUCCUUGAGACUGCGUCAGUUUCUCUUUUAUGUCACCGCAGAAAUUGUCUUCCAUUUUCUCUGACCAGAACUCCUCAAAAGGCCAGCUGUUUUGUAUGCAG